UUGAGCCUGUGGCUACAGUUAAACCUGUAGUUGAGCCUGUGGCUACAGUUAAACCUGUAGUUGAGCCUGUGGCUGCAUAUAAACCUGUAGUUGAGCCUGUGGCUGCAUAUAAACCUGUAGUUGAGCCUGUGGCUGCAGUUAAACCUGUAGGUAAACCUGUAGUUGAGCCUGUAGUUGAGCCUGUGGCUGCAGUUAAACCUGUAGUUGAGCCUGUGGCUACAGUUAAGCCUGUAGUUGAGCCUGUGGCUGCAGUUAAGCCUGUAGUUGAGCCUGUGGCUACAGUUAAGCCUGUAGUUGAGCCUGUGGCUGCAGUUAAGCCUGUAGUUGAGCCUGUGGCUGCAGUUAAAACUGUAAAUGAGGAGUCAACAUCUGCCACUCAAGUCGUGGCAGAUGAUAUAAUAGCACCUGCAUCAGAACCUGCAUCAGAACCUACACCAUCCCCUUGUGGGGGUCAGGUUCCAUCACUCAUUCAGCAACAGGAGGAUGCUGAACCACAGCAUCAGAUAGUCCAUGACUUUCGUCACACCGAUGCGGGUUGUGCGGUAAGGCCUUAGGGGACAUGACGACCGCCAUGUUCGUGCAUGGGAGAGUGAUCCACUGUGAUGGCUGCUUUAUUAAAACCAUGUAGGCCCCAGGGCUUCUCAUCACCUUGACACAGAGGGCACAGCAGUGUCAUCCCUGGAACAUCCCUAUCACCAACACAACCAUUUUGACAGAUUACUUGCUAGCAUUGUUCAACAUUUUUUUUGUAAGAUGUUAUAUUUCCAGAGUUAUCAUCAAUUUUCCUAGCCUGACACUGAAUGCCAUUUUUUGUGAAUGUAAGACUUUUCUGUAAACAAAUAAUUCGUUUUUUCCCCAUUUAUUGUGUUUUCACCAUGUGGAGGGCAUGUAUAUCUGUAAUGAGAAAAAAUAUAUAAAUGAUUUAUGGCAGUUUCCAUAAUUUGUCAAUUAACUUCUAAUAACAUUGGUCUUGUUUGUUGUUGUGCAU